ACGGAAGGCAGCAGUGGGGGAUAUUGUACAAUGGGGGAAACCCUGAUGCAGCGACGCCGCGUGAGUGAUGAAGUAUUUCGGUAUGUAAAGCUCUAUCAGCAGGAAAGAUAAUGACGGUACCUGACUAAGAAGCACCGGCUAAAUACGUGCCAGCAGCCGCGGUAAUACGUAUGGUGCAAGCGUUAUCCGGAUUUACUGGGUGUAAAGGGAGCGCAGACGGCAUGGCAAGCCAGAUGUGAAGGGCAGGGGCUCAACUCCUGGACUGCAUUUGGAACUGUCAAGCUAGAGUAUCGGAGAGGUAAGUGGAAUUCCUAGUGUAGCGGUGAAAUGCGUAGAUAUUAGGAGGAACACCAGUGGCGAAGGCGGCUUACUGGACGAUAACUGACGUUGAGGCUCGAAAGCGUGGGGAGCAAACAGGAUUAGAUACCCUGGUA
rnacentral:rRNA from 1 species